rnacentral:rRNA from 1 species
GAUGAACGCUGGCGGCGUGCCUAAUACAUGCAAGUCGAGCGAACAGAUGAGGAGCUUGCUCCUCUGACGUUAGCGGCGGACGGGUGAGUAACACGUGGAUAACCUACCUAUAAGACUGGGAUAACUUCGGGAAACCGGAGCUAAUACCGGAUAAUAUAUUGAACCGCAUGGUUCAAUAGUGAAAGACGGUUUUGCUGUCACUUAUAGAUGGAUCCGCGCCGCAUUAGCUAGUUGGUAAGGUAACGGCUUACCAAGGCAACGAUGCGUAGCCGACCUGAGAGGGUGAUCGGCCACACUGGAACUGAGACACGGUCCAGACUCCUACGGGAGGCAGCAGUAGGGAAUCUUCCGCAAUGGGCGAAAGCUUGACGGAGCAACGUCGCGUGAGUGAUGAAGGUCUUCGGAUCGUAAAACUCUGUUAUUAGGGAAGAACAAAUGUGUAAGUAACUAUGCACGUCUUGACGGUACCUAAUCAGAAAGCCACGGCUAACUACGUG